rnacentral:rRNA from 1 species
UUUUAUUUGAGAGUUUGAUCCUGGCUCAGGAUGAACGCUGGCGGCGUGCCUAACACAUGCAAGUUGAGCGAUUUACUUCGGUAAAGAGCGGCGGACGGGUGAGUAACGCGUGGGUAACCUACCCUGUACACACGGAUAACAUACCGAAAGGUAUGCUAAUACGGGAUAAUAUAUUUGAGAGGCAUCUCUUGAAUAUCAAAGGUGAGCCAGUACAGGAUGGACCCGCGUCUGAUUAGCUAGUUGGUAAGGUAACGGCUUACCAAGGCGACGAUCAGUAGCCGACCUGAGAGGGUGAUCGGCCACAUUGGAACUGAGACACGGUCCAAACUCCUACGGGAGGCAGCAGUGGGGAAUAUUGCACAAUGGGCGAAAGCCUGAUGCAGCA